rnacentral:rRNA from 1 species
AUUGAACGCUGGCGGCAGGCCUAACACAUGCCAGUCGAGCGGAUGAAGGGAGCUUGCUCCUGGAUUCAGCGGCGGACGGGUGAGUAAUGCCUAGGAAUCUGCCUGGUAGUGGGGGAUAACGUCCGGAAACGGGCGCUAAUACCGCAUACGUCCUGAGGGAGAAAGUGGGGGAUCUUCGGACCUCACGCUAUCAGAUGAGCCUAGGUCGGAUUAGCUAGUUGGUGGGGUAAAGGCCUACCAAGGCGACGAUCCGUAACUGGUCUGAGAGGAUGAUCAGUCACACUGGAACUGAGACACGGUCCAGACUCCUACGGGAGGCAGCAGUGGGGAAUAUUGGACAAUGGGCGAAAGCCUGAUCCAGCCAUGCCGCGUGUGUGAAGAAGGUCUUCGGAUUGUAAAGCACUCUAAGUUGGGAGGAAGGGCAGUAAGUUAAUACCUUGCUGUUUUGACGUUACCAACAGAAUAAGCACCGGCUAACUUCGU